GCACCGGUAGCUCAGUUGGAUAGAGUACUUGACUACGAAUCAAGUGGUCGGAGGUUCAAAUCCUUCCCGGUGCACCA
rnacentral:tRNA from 1 species